rnacentral:rRNA from 1 species
AGUGAACGCUGGCGGCAGGCCUAACACAUGCAAGUCGAGCGGCAGCGGGUCCCCGCGAGGGGAUGCCGGCGAGCGGCGGACGGGUGAGGAACACAUCGGAAUCUGCCUGGGUUGUGGGGGAUAACGUAGGGAAACUUACGCUAAUACCGCAUGCGACCCUGGAGUCGACGGACUGGGGGUGAAAGUGAGGGACCUUCGGGCCUCACGCGACCAGAUGAGCCGAUGUCGGA